GGAGGGUGCAAGCGUUGUUCGGAGUUACUGGGCGUAAAGCGCGUGUAGGCGGCGUCUUAAGUCCGAUGUGAAAGCCCGGGGCUUACCCCCGGAAGUGCAUCGGAUACUGGGAGGCUAGAGUACCGGAGAGGAGGGUGGAAUUCCUGGUGUAACGGUGAAAUGCGUAGAUAUCAGGAGGAACACCGGUGGCGAAGGCGGCCCUCUGGACGGAUACUGACGCUGAGACGCGAAAGCGUGGGGAGCAAACAGGAUUAGAUACCCUGGUAGUCCACGCUGUAAACGAUGGGUACUAGGUGUUCGGGGUAUUGACCCCCUGAGUGCCGUAGCUAACGCAUUAAGUACCCCGCCUGGGGAUUACGGCCGCAAGGUUA
rnacentral:rRNA from 1 species